UACGGAGGGGGCUAGCGUUGUUCGGAAUUACUGGGCGUAAAGCGCACGUAGGCGGCUUUGUAAGUUAGAGGUGAAAGCCCGGGGCUCAACUCCGGAAUUGCCUUUAAGACUGCAUCGCUAGAAUUGUGGAGAGGUAAGUGGAAUUCCGAGUGUAGAGGUGAAAUUCGUAGAUAUUCGGAAGAACACCCGUGGCGAAGGCGGCCCCCUGGGCCGUACCUGACGCUGAGGCGCGAAGGCUAGGGGAGCGAACGGG
rnacentral:rRNA from 1 species